CCUACGGGUGGCAGCAGUGGGGAAUAUUGCACAAUGGGCGCAAGCCUGAUGCAGCCAUGCCGCGUGUGUGAAGAAGGCCUUCGGGUUGUAAAGCACUUUCAGCGGGGAGGAAGGCGUUAAGGUUAAUAACCUUGUCGAUUGACGUUACCCGCAGAAGAAGCACCGGCUAAUUCCGUGCCAGCAGCCGCGGUAAUACGGAGGGUGCAAGCGUUAAUCGGAAUUACUGGGCGUAAAGCGCACGCAGGCGGUCUGUCAAGUCGGAUGUGAAAUCCCCGGGCUCAACCUGGGAACUGCAUUCGAAACUGGCAGGCUAGAGUCAUGUAGAGGGGGGUAGAAUUCCAGGUGUAGCGGUGAAAUGCGUAGAGAUCUGGAGGAAUACCGGUGGCGAAGGCGGCCCCCUGGACAAAGACUGACGCUCAGGUGCGAAAGCGUGGGGAGCAAACAGGAUUAAAUACCCGUGUAGUC
rnacentral:rRNA from 1 species